rnacentral:tRNA from 1 species
GCCUGGGUGGCUCAGUCGGUUGAGCGUCCGACUUCGGCUCAGGUCAUGAUCUCGUGGUUCGUGGGUUCGAGCCCCACAUCGGGCU